rnacentral:tRNA from 1 species
GUCCCGUUCGUCUAGCGGUUUAGGACAUCGCCCUUUCACGGCGAAGAUCACGGGUUCGAAUCCCGUACGGGAUACCA